rnacentral:rRNA from 1 species
GAUGAACGCUGGCGGCGUGCCUAAUACAUGCAAGUAGAGCGAACAGAUGAGGAGUUUGCUCUCCUGACGUUUGCGGCGGACGGGAGAGUAACAUGUGGAAAAUCCAUCUAUACGACUGGGAAAACUUCGGGACACUGGAGAAAAUCCCGGAAAAUAUAUUGAUCCGUAUGGUUCACUAGUGAAAGACGGUUUUGUCGCUACCUAUAGAACGUGCCGUGUCGCAUCUGCUAGUUGGUAUGGUAACGGCUUACCAAGGCAACGAUGCGCCGCCGACCUGAGAGGUGGAUCGGCCACACUGGAACUGGGACACGGUCCAGACUCCUACGGGAGGAGGCGGAGGGGAAUCUUCGGCAUGGGGCGAAAGCCUGACGGAGCAACGCCGCGGAGGGGAUGAGGGUCUUCGGAUCGUAAAACUCGGUUAUUAGGGAAGAACAAAUGGGGAGUUAACUAUGCACGUCUUGACGGUACCUAAUCAGAAAGCCACGGCUAACUACGUG